GAGGAACAGCUAGAGAUGGAGAGGAGAACAGCUAGUGGUGGAGGAGGAGCAGCAGGAGACAACAGCUGGAGGAGGAGGAGGAGGAGAGGAACAGCUAGUGAUGAAGGAGGAGGAGGUGGAGCAGCAGGAGGACAGAACAGCUAGUGGUGGAGGAGGAGGAGGAGAGGAGCAGGAUGGUGCUCAGCAGCUGAUCUGCCUGGCUGUCAUCAACGGACGGUGAUGAUCUGCACCUCCCCCUCACCCCUGGUUUAUGGGGUGUGCCUAAUGACUUCCCGUCGCAUGAGAUCCACUAAUGCGUCGGCGGACCAGAACCGUCUGAUGGCCGCAUUAGGCCGCUCCUCUCGCUCACUUCCUCCUGGAGCCGUUACAAUGGCGCUCGAGGAGAACAUCUGGAGGUUUAGGAAACCAGGGGGGAGCGGAAACGCUGUUGAACAACUAUUGGACGGCGGCCAAAGAGAGUCCCCGUGAUGCACAGUGUUUGGGUCUGUUUGGUUAGAGGGGAGGCUUCUGUUUCAGGGAGACUGAGGUAUGGACACAGUGACUUGGAACGAUUUGUGUAAAUACUAUAAACAUCGCCGAGUUUUGCUCCGCACCCAAAACAGGUGUGUGGCUUCUGAGUCAGAGACUCGUAAGUAUUAUUACAAAUCGGUCUGCUAUGAAAUUAUCCAGAAUGGUAGCGACGCUACGUUAACAUUUAGCAGACGCUUCUAUCCAGAGCGACUUACAACAAGUACAUUUGUCAGAAGAAAGAGGAACAACAAUCUAUCACUGUCGGUACAGUAAGGGCUGUUCAUAGAACCAAGUGCCAAGCACUAACGAUUGCUAGGUUAACCCAUUCCCAGUGCACAACAAAGAUAGCUAGGACAAGAUGCUACUCGAUGCUAAGUACUAUUUCUAAGUGCAUGGAGGAACAAUAAGUGGGUACAGUAAGUGCAAGGACGUACAACAUACAAUAAGUGCGCAAGGGGGGGGGGUGGGGUACUGCGCUGUAGAGGAUAAAGAAAUGAACACUGGUCUUCCAUUGUUCCCCACCAGUACAGACCAGUGCCUGCUGACAGCAGCAGAACCUAGGCUAUCAUUAUAUUUGUAUCAUUCAUUGUUCUUAGCCCUGAUGCGUCUGAUACGCCCUCCCAGCAUCGAACUAAUUAGGUGUCCACCUUAUCUGAGCGAGACUGUCCUCUACUGGUUCGGCCUAUUCUGUCUAGAACCACAGCUCCACCAGAGCACACACAGUGGUGGACUGGAACCACCUGUUCCCCUUUAGUGUGUGUGUGUGUGUGUGUGUGUGUGUGUGUGUGUGUGUGUGUGUGUGUGUGUGUGUGUGUGUGUGUGUGUGUGUGUGUGUGUGUGUGUGUGUGUGUGUGUGUGUG